rnacentral:rRNA from 1 species
UUCCUACGGGAGGCAGCAGUCGCGAAAACUCCGCAAUGCGCGAAAGCGUGACGGGGCUAUCCCGAGUGCCGUCCGCUGAGGAUGGCUUUUCCCCGGUGUAAGGAGCCGGGGGAAUAAGGAGAGGGCAAGCCUGGUGUCAGCCGCCGCGGUAAUACCAGCUCUCCGAGUGGUAGGGACGAUUAUUGGGCUUAAAGCGUCCGUAGCCGGCCCGGCAAGUCUCCCGUUAAAUCCAGCGAUUUAAUCGUUGGUCUGCGGGAGAUACUGUUGGGCUAGGAGGCGGGAGAGGCCGACGGUAUUCCCGGGGUAGGGGUGAAAUCCUAUAAUCCCGGGAGGACCACCAGUGGUCGCAACGCGGUUUCCAUAGACACG